rnacentral:rRNA from 1 species
UGCCAGCCGCCGCGGUAAUACAGAGAGUGCAAGCGUUAAUCGGAAUUAUUGGGCGUAAAGCGCGCGUAGGUGGAUGCUUAAGUCGAAUGUGAAAGCCCCGGGCUCAACCUGGGAACUGCAUUCGAUACUGGGCUUCUAGAGUAUGGUAGAGGGAAGUGGAAUUUCCGGUGUAGUGGUGAAAUGCGUAGAUAUCGGAAAGAACAUCAGUGGCGAAGGCGACUUCCUGGACCAAUACUGACACUGAGGUGCGAAAGCGUGGGUAGCAAACAGGAUUAGAUA